AUUGAACGCUGGCGGCAGGCCUAACACAUGCAAGUCGAGCGAGCGGCGGACGGGUGAGUAAUGUAUGGGGACUGCCCGAUAGCGGGGGAUAACUACUGGAAACGGUAGCUAAUACCGCAUACUAUCGGCUAACCCAUAUGGGAUUAGCUAGUAGGUGAGGUAAUGGCUCACCUAGGCGACGAUCCGUAGCUGGUUUGAGAGGACGACCAGCCACAGGGGGACGGGGACACGGCCCAGACUCCUACGGAGGCAGCAUUGGGGAAUUUUGGACAAUGGGGGAAACCCUUAUCCAGCAAUCCCGGGUGGAGGAUGAAGGCCUUCGGGUUGAAAAGUACUUUUGGCAGAGAAGCGGUAUCGGCAGAAUAAGCCCCGGCUAACUACGUGCCAGCCGCCGCGGUAAUUC
rnacentral:rRNA from 1 species